AUGGCUGUCGUCAGCUCGUGUCGUGAGAUGUUGGGUUAAGUCCCGCAACGAGCGCAACCCUCAUCCCUAGUUGCCAUCAUUCAGUUGGGCACUCUAAGGAAACUGCCGGUGAUAAGCCGGAGGAAGGUGGGGAUGACGUCAAGUCCUCAUGGCCCUUACGCGCUGGGCUACACACGUGCUACAAUGGCAACUACAGUGGGCAGCAACCUCGCGAGGGGUAGCUAAUCUCCAAAAGUUGUCUCAGUUCGGAUUGUUCUCUGCAACUCGAGAGCAUGAAGGCGGAAUCGCUAGUAAUCGCGGAUCAGCAUGCCGCGGUGAAUACGUUCCCAGGCCUUGUACACACCGCCCGU
rnacentral:rRNA from 2 species